rnacentral:rRNA from 1 species
GUCUACGGCCAUACUACCCUGACCUUUGAAGCUAAGCAGAGUUGGGUCGGGUCAGUAUUUGGAUGGGAGACCACCAAAUAAUAGGGGAGAUAGGUUUUGGCU